UUUAAUAAGUAUUGUUUUCCUAGGGCAUUUUUGCCUCUUUACUGUUUUAAAAUCCAGAUCAAUUUUCUGUAGAAGGGAAAAUUGUCAGAAUGACUUUAUUAAAAAUAUGUUUAUAUAGCAUCCUUUAGCUUAUAAAUUUGGGAAAUUUUGGAAAGAAGAAAAGCUAAAAUUUUAAAUUCUGUAUUGCAUAUAUUAAAUUGUGGGUUUUUUGUAAAUUUGUAAUGAUCGAUCCCUGAAUUCUGCAGUUUGUCUCCCAGACUGUUGAAGUUUGAAAAUUAUCAUUUUGCUUCUCAGGGUUUCAGCUGAUUCUUCCAGAACUAGCAAAACCCCAUGGGGGAAAAUACAACUCCAAGGCAAGGCUUCUUUCCCUAGAUUUCUUUCUGUUUUAGGAUCUUGCAUUUGUAAAACACUGUCGAGAUUUUCUAUGUGAUCUCAGGAGAAGAGUUGGUCUACCUUUCGUUUCUAUCAUUUCCAGAAAGAGGAGCCAACGUAAUAUUUGCUAAAACUUCAUUUUCUUAUAUUAUAUGUUUAAUCAAAAACUAAGAUAAGUUGCCUUUCUGCAAAAUGAGUAGUGUUCAAACCGACUAACAAUUUUUGAGUUCGCAGUUCUCUAAAACUAUCUACUUGUCUUCAAAAGGUCAGCCAAUGUACCCAGCAGAACUUGGUAAGUAGAUUAAAUUUUGAGCUGUAGUACAGCCUCUGUAAUAUUGAAAACAGUGAGCAUAUGGAGAUUCUGUGCUAAUAGGAACUCUAUCUAGUCACAGCUAAGUUUUAGAGGCUGAUGCUUGCUUUUACUCUCAGGUCAUUAAAGAAAGUUCACUGGAGAGUGUCUCUUAGCCUUCAAAGAUGAAAAACUGACUCCAUUCUUAAAGGAGUCAUUUUCUUUCCCGAAUAAUUUUAUAUAGGGAGUAUCUUACUUUGUCUUGAUCCUUAAGUCAAAUCCCCAUUGGAACUGAUGGGAUCAUCGGCUGAAACUGAGGAUUUUUUUGAAAAAACGGACUCACAAUUAACAGUGAUUAAUGUUUUGUUACGUGUUUCAUACUUAAAAAUCAAACUAUCAUCAUCAUUCUUAUAUAAAACUCUUUCAUAUAUGAACAAGUUAUAAAUAAGCUUAAUUCUGGCUUUUUGAGUAGUAAAUUUGGCUCAGCAGAUGAAGAAAUUUGCUGGAAGAAAUGAACAGUUGGUUGAAGAGCACAGUCUUACAUGUUCAACCUAAUUAAUGUAUUAAAAGAAAAACAAUCUCAUAUUUCCUGACUGUGACUUCUUCCUAUUUAUUAAAUUAUGCCAUCUGUUACUUGACUUGCAGCUACAGCAUGUGAUAAAUUAGAGUCUCUAUCCAUGACCAGGCCAAUGAUACCAGUUAGGAAGCUGACAGCAACAGCAGUAAGAAAAGUAGUACAAACAGAAUAAAAGAGCAUCCUCGUCAAAAGACACUUUGGACUUAGGUAUAAUUCAUUCAGACCUUAGGUGCCUCCUUUAAAGGAGCUCCUUAGAAGUGGAGAUUUUCAUCAUCCUCAAACCUGUGAGGCAUGUCCUACAGAGGGAAGAAGUGCCCUCAGCGUUAAAAGAAGUGGCAAUCCCUUUACCUGGGAAAGAUUAAAAUAGCAAGAGCCCCUUGGAGAUUCCUGUAUCUAGUUUGGCAGUGGUGGCCUGAAAGAAACAUCUGAUUUUCAAGAGCAUUGAUUUAUUACCAUUUGGCAAGUCUUAUUGAACUGAUAUAUAGAUAGUAUGUAAAAGUGAAUAUAAUUACACAAUUUUCAAGUAUUAGUCUAUUUUGUAAAGUUAAAAAUAUGCAUGCUGUCUAAAAUAAAUAUCUUUAGGUUCUUGUUACAUUUUCAGAAGUCAUUAGAAUUUGCCACUAAGACAUACUAUCAUUAGUAAAUGAAAAUUUCCAAGCUGACGGCAAGCAUCUUUUCUGAAGGCAAAAAUUGUCAAGGCAACCAUAGAUUUUCCAUUUUGUGUGUGUUUCUACUUUAUUCUUCUUGAUGUACAUCUAAUAAAAGCAGCACAAAGCAAAUACGUUUCAAACUUAAAAGUCGGUGAUUAAGACCUGACACAAGGGACAUUUGUUAUACUUUAUACGUCUGUAUUGGAUAGCAGCAAAAAUGAUGGACGUGGUAGGUAAUUGUCCAUGAAACCCAUGUAUUUUGACCUGAAGAAUCAGCCCUGCUUUCACAAACCUUCAUGGUGAAUUGUGGAUAU